AGUUUUGCACUUUCACACAUCUCCUUUAGGGCUUGUUUGGUUGAUUGGGAAUUAAUCCCCAAGGGAUCCUAGGAUUGAGUGAAUCCCUCCCAAUUCCCAUCUCACUCAAACCCUGUGGGGAUGAUUCCCUUUGCCUCUCCUAAUCCCUCUCCUAAAACCUGUGUUCGGUUUUGGCUGGGAAUUAACCCAUGGAGAAGUCCAAUCAAGCAAGAAACUACUGAAGCGGCUGAAUACUCCAAUAAAUAGCGCAUUAAAUUUGACUUAUGCAAAAAUCAUACACAGAAGUUGUUGAUGUCAUGAAAAAUACUGCUAACACUGAAGAUAACAGUGUAUGCGUCUAUUUCUUCAAGCAAGAAGCACAUCACAAACAUGUCUUGUCAGCAGACAAAUGGUAAUAAUACUGUUAAGAAACUUUGGGCUUGGCCCAUGAAGGCCUGGCCCAAAUACACUUAUUGGGCCUAUCAUCAAACCUUCCAUAUAUUGGAAUGCACUAUAUAAAGAGAGGAGGGGGCUACUCAUUUGUACAGUUGAUUGGAUGAUUGAAUAGUGAAAGAGAGUCUCACCCCUAAACUUUGUGUCUCCACUUUUAUACGAUUAUGGGACCCUCUUAGACUACUUCGUGUAGUAGGAGGGUUGCGUAAUAAAUACAAUUAUUUUCACUUUCCAAAUAUCUCACAUAGCAAACUCAAAACAGGCUGCACUAGCUAAGUCUAAAUACACAACAAAACCCAAACUUCUCCCAGGAUCUCCCAAAAUGAGAGUUUAAGUACUUCAUGAAGCUGCUACCAUCACAUUUUAAUUACAUAAAAUCCAACAUCAGUGAUUGCUCCAAAUGACGAACUAUAGCCUUCUGUGACUGAAAAGGAUAACCAAUAGUUAAUAAGAUGGCACUACUAGCUCCAUAGUAAACAAGUAUUCACAGUAAACAAGUAUGCAAAAGCGCAGUGGAUAACAACCAAAUUUUCCCUUCUGUACAACAUCUAUGAAAGCAUUGUAGCAAAAACUAGACAGGAAAGUUGUAGGUACAGAUUCAACAAGCAAGUCCAAGAAGAGAUGCUUAUAUACUAAUAUCAAGCAGUUGUCCUUAUAUCAAUUAUAAAAACUUCAAAAGGAACAGACACCUCAAUUGCCAAUUGAUCAUCAGAAUUUAACAGUAACAAAAAAGAGAGGGCAUGGAACCAGGGAGAUGAUAAGCAAUGGUGAUUGCAGUGAAUGCUGUAAAUUCAUUGCAGUACACAAGAAGCCCUAAGCUCCAUCUCUACUUCUCAUCAUACACAGAUGCAUAUGUCUCUGCAACAAGUCUGUCACUUCAUGUUAUGCUUUUCAACAAGACAGUUAUUUUAAAUUGGACAAGGAUCACCAGUUGGUACUUUAUAUGUACCAGUGCAUUACAUCUAGUGAGAGGAAUAUUAUGCUUGGAACAACAAUAAAGAAAUUAGUGCAGUACAACCCAACCUGUCUUCACACUCUAAGAAUUGGCAAAUUAGUCCAAAUUAACCAAUUUUCGGAUCAAGGUAAAGCAAUAAGAUGUUAUAGGCAUCACAUUUUAAUUACUGAAGCGGUUCUAUUAUGCCAAAUGUCAAGUUUAGUAGUGAAGCUUGGUGUGAAAAAUUCUAUAGGCUCAGUAAUUUUAAAUGAAAAUAGAUAUUGAAAUGAAAGUGACUCUGCUUGUAAGAUGACAAAAACUGCUCAAAUAGAAGCAUCACAUGAUGUCCUUCAGCAUCAACUGCUGCAUAUCAGGAGAUCCACUAGAUUUUCACUUCAGCUAGCUGUAACUGCCUAGCUCCCGCUUUGCAGCCUCAAUUACAAGCAUAUUAUAUGGUAUUGAAUCUUUUUUCACCUAUCCUAAAGCCAAAUUGUGAACUUGCAAUGGCAGUACCAUAUGCAGUACUACUUAAAAUGCUUGCACCCAAAUAAUCAAAAUUUUGGAAUCCUAAACUAGGAUAAAUAGAUCAUCAUGCUUAACAGAGAAAAGAUGCACAAAUGGAUGGACGGUUUCCAGGAGAAGCUUAACAGCGGGGCAAAUUUCCUGGAGGAGAUGAACAGCGUAGUGAGUUUAGUGAAGAAGCAGCGGAUCAACGACCCCAGCAUGAUGAACUGGUCGCUGCAGCUCAAGGACGCUAUCGACGAGGUGGAGUUUACAAGAACAGCAAGAACAACAAGAAUAGUCAAAGAAUCGCCUUGUGCUCUCCUCCGCCUCUUCUUCUCCGAGGGCGCCACGGCGGUGGCGCAGUGGGCGAGGGCGAUGGGCGGCGGCGGCGGCAGAGUGGAUGCGCCGACGCUAUGCUGCGACCGGGAGCGGUGUUCGACGGGAUGGCGGCGACGACAGGAAAGGGAGAAGAGAAGGAAACCCUAACCCUAGAUUUGGAAGAGGAGGGGAGAGGAGGAAAGGCAGCGUGCUCACCGGAAAGAAGGUGGCGGCCGGAUGAGAGAGCCGUGCUGUCGCCGUCGCCGUCGCCUUCGGGUCGCGCCGCCCGCCGCGCGCCGCGUCUUCGUUGCGCCGCCGCCUCCUCUCGAGGUUUUUUUCCACGCCUCGGGAGUAGAUGAUUUAUUCCCGGGCCGGGGCGCAG
rnacentral:lncRNA from 1 species